UGGGGAAUAUUGGACAAUGGGCGCAAGCCCGAUCCAGCCAUGCCGCGUGAGUGAUGAAGGCCCUAGGGUUGUAAAGCUCUUUCACCGGUGAAGAUAAUGACGGUAACCGGAGAAGAAGCCCCGGCUAACUUCGUGCCAGCAGCCGCGGUAAUACGAAGGGGGCUAGCGUUGUUCGGAUUUACUGGGCGUAAAGCGCACGUAGGCGGACUAUUAAGUCAGGGGUGAAAUCCCGGGGCUCAACCCCGGAACUGCCUUUGAUACUGGUAGUCUUGAGUUCGAGAGAGGUGAGUGGAAUUCCGAGUGUAGAGGUGAAAUUCGUAGAUAUUCGGAGGAACACCAGUGGCGAAGGCGGCUCACUGGCUCGAUACUGACGCUGAGGUGCGAAAGCGUGGGGAGCAAACAGG
rnacentral:rRNA from 1 species